rnacentral:rRNA from 1 species
UACGUAGGGGGCAAGCGUUGUCCGGAAUCAUUGGGCGUAAAGCGCGUGUAGGCGGCCAGAAAAGUCCGCUGUGAAAACUCGAGGCUCAACUUCGAGCUGUCGGUGGAAACUUUCUGGCUAGAGUCCGGAAGAGGAGAAUGGGAAUUCCUGGUGUAGCGGUGAAAUGCGCAGAUAUCAGGAAGAACACCCGUGGCGAAGGCGGUUCUCUGGGACGGUACUGACGCUGAGACGCGAAAGCGUGGGGAGCGAACAGG